GUUCCCGAAUUUCCGCUCGUCGAAGAUAUUCAUCCAUUCUGUUUCGCGCCAGUCUUCCUGCUGUAAAAACUGCGAUCCGUUUCUCAUUUAUACUUCCUGAUGCAUUACCUUUUCCUGAUUAUGUUCUGAUCGCCAAUGCAUCUUUGUUUUCUGGCUUCCUAUGAUUUGAUUUUAAAUUUUUUACUCCCAUUGUAAUUCAUCCGUGUUUUUGGCCAUUCGUGUUAUGGAGUUCCAUUUUGGAUGCCAAUGGAAUCUGUUUCAAGCAGAGGACAUAUCUUCGUUGUAUCUUCUCAGAAAUGGUGCUUGUGAAGCCGCAGUUAGAAGAUGAAGUCUGUAAGGUGAAUGGACUUAUUUAUGCUGCCAUGAAUUAAUCCCACAGGUGUUUGGUCAAGUGGGCUCGCCUUGCUCGGGUUGGCUACUUAGUCUAAUUUUACAUUCCACUCCAAAUGGUAGUACUUAGUUACAUCGUGGCCUAUUUAUCAACCAUAAUGGGUUGAUCUAGGGGUAAAUAUGGGGGCAUGACUUUGAUCAUGGGCUACGAGAAUCAUGAGUUCAAUAUAUGUGACCACCUAAUUAGAAUUUGCUAUUCUAUGAGUUUACUACACCCAAAUAUUCUAAAGCCUAGCAAGUUGUCUCAUGAAAUCAAUCAAGAUGCACGUGUGUUAGUUGGACCCUAACUAGGUGAUCUAUAUAAAAAAAUAUUCUCUUAUUGAAAGGCAAUUGAAGUGAUUAGAAAAGGUAGCAUAUUUGGAUCUUUGCUUCGACGGAAAACUUAGCUAUGGAAAACUUAGCUAUGAAUUGCUAUGAUGGUAUCUAUGUAGAUUAUUAUGUCAUUUUAGUUCUUACAUUUUUCAGUUUCAAUUGGGAUUGGUUUUUAAAA